UACUCCUACGGGAGGCAGCAGUGGGGAAUUUUGCGCAAUGGGGGAAACCCUGACGCAGCAACGCCGCGUGAGUGAUGAAGGCCUUCGGGUCGUAAAGCUCUGUCUAGAGGAAAGAAAUGUUUGGCGGCUAAUAUCCGUUGAACUUGACGGUACCUCUGAAGGAAGCACCGGCUAACUCCGUG
rnacentral:rRNA from 1 species